CCCUUGUGGAGGAGGACGCCGAAGGUGGGGCUAAUGACUGGGGUGAAGUCGUAACAAGGUAGCCGUACCGGAAGGUGCGGCUGGAUCACCUCCUAACAGGGAGACAACAAAAUGUUUAAUAUUAUAAUUUUGUCACCUUAGGUCGAUCGGUAUCUCACGUUCUUGAUUUAUUAAGAAUUUCAUUUCCUAAGUUUUUCUAGGUCACACCCAUUAUUUUUCCUGGGCCAUUAGCUCAGGUGGUUAGAGCGCACCCCUGAUAAGGGUGAGGUCCCUGGUUCAAGUCCAGGAUGGCCCAUAUCUCUAUGUUGGGGGUAUAGCUCAGUUGGUAGAGCGCCUGCUUUGCAAGCAGGAUGUCAGCGGUUCGAGUCCGCUUACCUCCACUGAUUACCACCUCUUCCAUAAUCUGUAGAAAGGAAAAAUUUGAGUUGUGAUCAAAUACUGAACGAUUCUAGCUUCCUAAUGAAAUCAUUAAGAUGCUGGAUUCAUUGAAUUAAUUUCAUUGUUUUCAGAGAACCUUGACAACUGCAUAGAUUUUUUUUAAAGACAAUAAGCAUCUUUAAUGAUGCAGAUUUAUUAUUUGUGCGAAUGCAUUAAUAACAAUUCUAUUAAGCUGAUGCUUCAAUUUUGAAGUUAUUGGUCAAGCUACAAAGGGCUCACGGAGGAUACCUAGGCACACAGAGGCGA
rnacentral:misc_RNA from 1 species